GUCACUCGGUGUUCUCACCGAAAGCACGUAAUCGCCGGUGUAACUCAUGUUGGCUGGGGGCCUCCCGGCGCGCGGAGGGGCUGGGGGGUGCGCCCCC
ensembl:misc_RNA